rnacentral:rRNA from 1 species
CUUCGGGAACUGUGAGANGGUGCUGNAUGGCUGUCGUCAGCUCGUGUUGUGAAAUGUUGGGUUAAAGUCCCGCAACGAGCUCAACCUUAUCNUUUGUUGCCAGCGGUUAGGCCGGGAACUCAAAGGAGACUGCCAGUGAUAAACUGGAGGAAGGUGGGGAUGACGUCAAGUCAUCAUGGCCCUUACGACCAGGGCUACACACGUGCUACAAUGGCAUAUACAAAGAGAAGCGACUCGCGAGAGCAAGCGGACCUCAUAAAGUAUGUCGUAGGNCGGAUUGGAGUCUGCAACUCGACUCCAUGAAGUCGGAAUCGCUAGUAAUCGUAGAUCAGAAUGCUACGGGUGAAUACGUUCCCGGGUCUUGUA